rnacentral:lncRNA from 1 species
GCUGUUGGAUUUGAGGUGUGACGACGCGACAGUGACGUUUCGGAUGGAUGUACCGUUGUUGGAUUUGGGAUGUGACGACGGCGACGUUGGAUCGCGUGAUCAGCGUUUUGCCGUCAAAGGCUGGCGUUGGGGACAUUCUGCGCAUGCGCGGGGUCGCUGGCCGCGCGCCGUCCUUGCGGUGCGGCGGUCCUGGCGGCGCGGCGCGGGGGCCGUUGCGGCGGGGCGCGCUUGGGGGGGCGGCCGCCGUCGCCGGGGGUGGCGUCACGAAGGGUGGGGGGCUUUGAAUCGCUAUAGUUCCGUGGUGGUUACC